rnacentral:rRNA from 2 species
GUCGAGCGAACUGAUUAGAAGCUUGCUUCUAUGACGUUAGCGGCGGACGGGUGAGUAACACGUGGGCAACCUGCCUGUAAGACUGGGAUAACUUCGGGAAACCGAAGCUAAUACCGGAUAGGAUCUUCUCCUUCAUGGGAGAUGAUUGAAAGAUGGUUUCGGCUAUCACUUACAGAUGGGCCCGCGGUGCAUUAGCUAGUUGGUGAGGUAACGGCUCACCAAGGCAACGAUGCAUAGCCGACCUGAGAGGGUGAUCGGCCACACUGGGACUGAGACACGGCCCAGACUCCUACGGGAGGCAGCAGUAGGGAAUCUUCCGCAAUGGACGAAAGUCUGACGGAGCAACGCCGCGUGAGUGAUGAAGGCUUUCGGGUCGUAAAACUCUGUUGUUAGGGAAGAACAAGUACGAGAGUAACUGCUCGUACCUUGACGGUACCUAACCAGAAAGCCACGGCUAACUACGUGCCAGCAGCCGCGGUAAUACGUAGGUGGCAAGCGUUAUCCGGAAUUAUUGGGCGUAAAGCGCGCGCAGGCGGUUUCUUAAGUCUGAUGUGAAAGCCCACGGCUCAACCGUGGAGGGUCAUUGGAAACUGGGGAACUUGAGUGCAGAAGAGAAAAGCGGAAUUCCACGUGUAGCGGUGAAAUGCGUAGAGAUGUGGAGGAACACCAGUGGCGAAGGCGGCUUUUUGGUCUGUAACUGACGCUGAGGCGCGAA